CCUGAUGACCAUAGCGUUUUGGAACCACCUGACCCAUGCCGAACUCAGAAGUGAAACAAAACAGCGUCGAUGAUAGUGUGGAUUACCCAUGUGAAAGUAGAACAUCGUCAGGG
rnacentral:rRNA from 1 species